CAAUUUAAAUUCUAUAAGUUAGAAUUUUCAUUUACAUUGAAAAUAAAGUCGUGCAAAUCGAUUUAAAUUGA